AAUCAACGCUGGCGGCGUGCCUCAGACAUGCAAGUCGAACGAUUAAAGCUCUCUUCGGAGAGUGUAUAGAGUGGCGCACGGGUGAGUAACACGUAAGUAAUCUACCUUUGAGUGGGGAAUAACCCGGGGAAACCCGAGCUAAUACCGCAUAAUGCAGCGGCACCGCAAGGUGACAGUUGUUAAAGGAGCAAUCCGCUUAAAGAGGAGCUUGCGGCAGAUUAGCUAGNGGUAAGGUAAUGGCUUACCAAGGCUACGAUCUGUAUCCGGUCUAAGAGGACGGUCGGACACACUGACACUGAAUAACGGGUCAGACUCCUACGGGAGGCAGCAGUCGGGAAUUUUGGGCAAUGGGCGAAAGCCUGACCCAGCAACGCCGCGUGAAGGAUGAAGUAUUUCGGUAUGUAAACUUCGAAAGAAUAGGAAGAAUAAAUGACGGUACUAUUUAUAAGGUCCGGCUAACUACGUGCCA
rnacentral:rRNA from 1 species